GAUGAACGCUAGCGGGAGGCCUAACACAUGCAAGCCGAGCGGUAUGUGUCCUCCGGUGCAGAGAGAGCGGCGCACGAGUGCGGAACAAGUGUGCAACCUGCCUUUAUCUGGGGGAUGGCCUUUUGAAAGGAAGUGUAAUACCUAAUAAUAAAUUGCGUGGCAUGAUUUGAUAUUGAAAACUACGGUGGAUAGAGGUGGGCAGGCGCACGAUUAGUUAGUUGGUGAGGUAACGGCUGACCAAGUCAAUGAUCUUUAGGGAGCCGGAGGGUGUGAUCCCCCACACUGGGACUGAGCCCCGUACCAGACUCCUACGGGAGGCAGCAGUGAGGAAUACUGGACUAUGGGUUAGCGCCUGAUCCAGCCAUCCCGCGUGAAGGACGACGGCCCUAUGGGUUGUAAACUUCUUUUGUAUAGGGAUAAACCUACUCUCGUGAGAGUAGCUGAAGGUACUAUACGAAUAAGCACCGGCUAACUCCGUG
rnacentral:rRNA from 1 species